rnacentral:tRNA from 1 species
AAGGCCUUAAGUUAAAAUAAAACUAAUAACCUUCAAAGUUAUAAUUAAAAGGCAGGCUUUUAGGCCUUA